rnacentral:rRNA from 1 species
UGCAUUCGAUACGGGCUAGCUAGAGUAUGGUAGGGGAGAUCGGAAUUCCUGGUGUAGCGGUGAAAUGCGCAGAUAUCAGGAGGAACACCGGUGGCGAAGGCGGAUCUCUGGGCCAUUACUGACGCUGAGGAGCGAAAGCGUGGGGAGCGAACAGGAUUAGAUACCCUGGUAGUCCACGCCGUAAACGGUGGGAACUAGGUGUUGGCGACAUUCCACGUCGUCGGUGCCGCAGCUAACGCAUUAAGUUCCCCGCCUGGGGAGUACGGCCGCAAGGCUAAAACUCAAAGGAAUUGACGGGGGCCCGCUCAAGCAGCGGAGCAUGUGGCUUAAUUCGACGCA